GACAGGUAUGUUUCUGCCCAUGGACAUGGUAUCUGCCCGGUAAGCGGAAGGUCGUGGGUUCGAUUCCCGCCCCUGGACA